UACAGAGGUCUCAAGCGUUGUUCGGAUUCAUUGGGCGUAAAGGGUGCGUAGGCGGCCCGGUAAGUCCGCUGUGAAAGUCGGGGGCUCAACCCUCGGAUGCCGGUGGAUACUGUCGGGCUUGAGUGCGGAAGAGGCGAGUGGAAUUCCUGGUGUAGCGGUGAAAUGCGCAGAUAUCAGGAGGAACACCAAUUGCGAAGGCAGCUCGCUGGGACGUUACUGACGCUGAGGCGCGAAAGCGUGGGGAGCAAACAGG
rnacentral:rRNA from 1 species